rnacentral:rRNA from 1 species
UACGGAGGGUGCAAGCGUUGUUCGGAAUUAUUGGGCGUAAAGAGCUCGUAGGCGGUUUGUCGCGUCUGCUGUGAAAACUCGGGGCUUAACCCCGGGCCUGCAGUGGGUACGGGCAGACUAGAGUGCGGUAGGGGAGACUGGAAUUCCUGGUGUAGCAGUGAAAUGCGCAGAUAUCAGGAGGAACACCGGUGGCGAAGGCGGGUCUCUGGGCCGUAACUGACGCUGAGGAGCGAAAGCGUGGGGAGCGAACAGG